GUGGGGAAUCUUGCGCAAUGGGCGAAAGCCUGACGCAGCCAUGCCGCGUGAAUGAUGAAGGUCUUAGGAUUGUAAAAUUCUUUCACCGGGGACGAUAAUGACGGUACCCGGAGAAGAAGCUCCGGCUAACUUCGUGCCAGCAGCCGCGGUAAUACGAAGGGGGCUAGCGUUGCUCGGAAUUACUGGGCGUAAAGGGCGCGUAGGCGGACAGCUUAGUCAGAGGUGAAAGCCCAGGGCUCAACCUUGGAAUUGCCUUUGAUACUGGCUGUCUUGAGUUUGGGCGAGGUGAGUGGAACUCCGAGUGUAGAGGUGAAAUUCGUAGAUAUUCGGAAGAACACCAGUGGCGAAGGCGACUCACUGGCCCAAUACUGACGCUGAGGCGCGAAAGCGUUGGGAGCAAACAGGAUUAGAAACCCCGGUAGUCC
rnacentral:rRNA from 1 species